rnacentral:lncRNA from 1 species
AAAGUGCUGCAAUUACAGGCGUGAGCCACCGCGCCCGGCCAACCUGUGUAUUUUUUAUGUUAGGUUUGAUGAUGAAGUGUAUAGUCAUGGAGAAGUUUGGUUUGAUAAAUAAAUAUGAUCUAAUGGUAGUAAACUGGUGGGGGUGGGUGCGUGGGACUUAGCAAGGCCUGUUUGUUCAGAGUCUUGUCUGUGUCCCUGUGUCUUUGGAGAUGAGGCUGUUCCUCUCCUCCCCGUAUCGGGAGAGCAUCUCUGGAAUGAGACUCUUAUGACCUGCUUUAGAGGAGCAGGGUGAGAUGAGGGUGAGAGAGCCCUUUCUGCUUCUAGGGUAUUCCAGAUGCUGAGGUGCCAUAUUUUGGGGUGGUAUGUCCUGAACUCCAUCAAUUCUGUCCCCUUCUUGGGAUGUUUCCAAGCCUGUGUUGGUUUGGGUGAGAUAAUCUGGUUUCCAGAGGCUAUGGCAGGCCUCUCCAGUGUUGUCACCCCACAGGACUGACCUAGGGACACCUUCAGGGCUACACAUGGUCGUGCAGAUCUUUCCCCCGUGCAUCCCCUUUUCCUUCCCCCACUUCCUUCCCUCCCUAGAGCAAUGAGCCUCAGUGAACUGGGACCUCUGUGGACCCCACUGGGAGACAUCAGCCUCUGGAGGUUCCUUGGUGGUCUGCGCCCUUUGCCCCUUCCCUCUAGCGUUUCUGCCCUUAGAUGCCUCCUCUUGCCAAGUCACACUCAGCCCCUCCUCCCAAAGAUCAAAUUCCUUCCUUCCCUCCUCCCUCAACUUUUCUUUCUAUUCUCCCUGAUUUUACCUGAAAAGAUUAAUCAGCACAGUGCCAAAGAUGGAAAUAAACCAAAACUCCACUAGAUUUUUUAAAUUAAUUUUUUUUGAGAGAGAAGGUCUCGCUCUGUCACCCAGGCUGGAGUGCAGUGGUGUAAUGUUAGCUCACUGCGGCCUCCACCUCCUGGGCCCAAGCAGUCCUCUCACCUCAGCCUCCCAAGUAGCUGGGACCAGAGGUGUGCACCACCACACCUGGCUAAUUUUUACAUUUUUGUAGACAUGGGGAUCUCCCUAUGUUGCCCAGGCUGGUUUUGAACUCCUGGCCUCAAGUGAUCUGCCUGCUUCAGCCUCCCAAAGUGCUGGGAUUACAGGCAUGAGCCACCACACCCAGACAUUUUUCUUUUGAAAUGGAGUUUCGGCCGAGCGGUGGC